rnacentral:rRNA from 1 species
UGCUCAGGACGAACGCUGGCGGCGUGCCUAAUACAUGCAAGUCGUACGCUUCUUUUUCCACCGGAGCUUGCUCCACCGGAAAAAGAAGAGUGGCGAACGGGUGAGUAACACGUGGGUAACCUGCCCAUCAGAAGGGGAUAACACUUGGAAACAGGUGCUAAUACCGUAUAACAAUCGAAACCGCAUGGUUUUGAUUUGAAAGGCGCUUUCGGGUGUCGCUGAUGGAUGGACCCGCGGUGCAUUAGCUAGUUGGUGAGGUAACGGCUCACCAAGGCCACGAUGCAUAGCCGACCUGAGAGGGUGAUCGGCCACAUUGGGACUGAGACACGGCCCAAACUCCUACGGGAGGCAGCAGUAGGGAAUCUUCGGCAAUGGACGAAAGUCUGACCGAGCAACGCCGCGUGAGUGAAGAAGGUUUUCGGAUCGUAAAACUCUGUUGUUAGAGAAGAACAAGGAUGAGAGUAACUGUUCAUCCCUUGACGGUAUCUAACCAGAAAGCCACGGCUAACUACGUGCCAGCAGCCGCGGUAAUACGUAGGUGGCAAGCGUUGUCCGGAUUUAUUGGGCGUAAAGCGAGCGCAGGCGGUUUCUUAAGUCUGAUGUGAAAGCCCCCGGCUCAACCGGGGAGGGUCAUUGGAAACUGGGAGACUUGAGUGCAGAAGAGGAGAGUGGAAUUCCAUGUGUAGCGGUGAAAUGCGUAGAUAUAUGGAGGAACACCAGUGGCGAAGGCGGCUCUCUGGUCUGUAACUGACGCUGAGGCUCGAAAGCGUGGGGAGCAAACAGGAUUAGAUACCCUGGUAGUCCACGCCGUAAACGAUGAGUGCUAAGUGUUGGAGGGUUUCCGCCCUUCAGUGCUGCAGCUAACGCAUUAAGCA